AGCAGCCGCGGUAAUUCCAGCUCCAAUAGCGUAUAUUAAAGUUGUUGCAGUUAAAAAGCUCGUAGUUGAAUUUCGGGACCAAUUUGUUGGUCGUGCCUCGGUACGUACUGGUAUUAUUGGUUUCUCCCUUCUGAAGAACCUCGAUGCCAUUAAUUUGGUGUCGUGGGGAAUCAGGACUGUUACUUUGAAAAAAUUAGAGUGUUUAAAGCAAGCAUACGCUUGAAUACAUUAGCAUGGAAUAAUGAAAUAGGACGUUUGAUUCUAUUUUGUUGGUUUCUAGGAUCGACGUAAUGAUUAAUAGGGAUAGUUGGGGGCAUUAGUAUUCAAUUGUCAGAGGUGAAAUUCUUGGAUUUAUUGAAGACUAACUACUGCGAAAGCAUUUGCCAAGGAUGUUCUCAUUAAUCAAGAACGAAAGUUAGGGGAUCGAAGACGAUCAGAUACCGUCGUAGUCUUAACCAUAAACUAUGCCGACUAGGGAUCGGAUGAUGUUAAUUUUUAAUGUACUCAUUCGGCGCCUUAC
rnacentral:rRNA from 1 species